AAGUUCCUCGUCAUCAUCGUC
rnacentral:misc_RNA from 1 species